CCGGUUGAUCCUGCCGGACCCGACUGCUAUCAGAGUGGGACUAAGCCAUGCGAGUCAACAUAGCAAUAUGUGGCAUACGGCUCAGUAACACGUAGUCAACAUGCCCAGGGGACGUGGAUAACCUCGGGAAACUGAGGAUAAACCGCGAUAGGUCAUCACUUCUGGAAUGGGUAAUGACUUAAAUCUAUAUGGCCCCUGGAUUGGACUGCGGCCGAUCAGGCUGUUGGUGAGGUAAUGGCCCACCAAACCUGUAACCGGUACGGGCUCUGAGAGGAGGAGCCCGGAGAUGGGCACUGAGACAAGGGCCCAGGCCCUAUGGGGCGCAGCAGGCGCGAAACCUCUGCAAUAGGCGAAAGCUUGACAGGGUUACUCUGAGUGAUUUCCGUUAAGGAGAUCUUUUGGCACCUCUAAAAAUGGUGCAGAAUAAGGGGUGGGCAAGUCUGGUGUCAGCCGCCGCGGUAAUACCAGCACCCCGAGUGGUCGGGACGUUUAUUGGGCCUAAAGCAUCCGUAGCCGGUUCUACAAGUCUUCCGUUAAAUCCACCUGCUUAACAGAUGGGCUGCGGAAGAUACUAUAGAGCUAGGAGGCGGGAGAGGCAAGCGGUACUCGAUGGGUAGGGGUAAAAUCCGUUGAUCCAUUGAAGACCACCAGUGGCGAAGGCGGCUUGCCAGAACGCGCUCGACGGUGAGGGAUGAAAGCUGGGGGAGCAAACCGGAUUAGAUACCCGGGUAGUCCCAGCUGUAAACGAUGCAGACUCGGUGAUGAGUUGGCUUAUUGCUAACUCAGUGCCGCAGGGAAGCCGUUAAGUUUGCCGCCUGGGGAGUACGGUCGCAAGACUGAAACUUAAAGGAAUUGGCGGGGGGAGCA
rnacentral:rRNA from 1 species